rnacentral:rRNA from 1 species
GUCUUAAAGAUAAUUAAUUUUAAGUCCAAUCUGCCCACUGAAUUUUAUUUUAACGGCUGCAGUAUACUGACUGUACAAAGGUAGCAUAAUAAUUUGUUUUUUAAUUAAAAACUAGUAUGAAAGAUUUAAUGAAAUAAAAUCUGUUUCAAUCUAAAAAUUUAACUUUUUAUUUAAGUUAAAAAACUUAAAUUUUUUAUAAAGACGACAAGACCCUAUAGAAUUUAAUUUUCUUUUUAUUUAUAAAUUUUAAGAAAAUUUAAUUGGGGUAAUUGAAAAAUUAAAAUAAUUUUUUUUUAAAAAAACAUUAUAAAUGAAUUUAAAUUUCUUAAUUUUUAAAUUAAAAAAAUUAAUUACCUUAGGGAUAACAGCAUAAUUUUUUUUGAAAGUUCAUAUUAAUAAAAAAGAUUAU